UGUGGGCAACCCCCGGAAGCUGAGAGAGGCCAGGAAUAGGUUGUUCCUCAGAGCUUGCCACAAGGAAGCAGCCCUGCUGACACCUUGAUCGUGGACUGGUCGCUACCGGAACUUUGCCUGUUGCCCUUUUCGUGUUUAUCUUGUUAAGUAGUGCCACGCUGAAAGUAUAGACCCCCGGAGGGCAAGAUGCUAUCUGUGUAAACGGAGCUGCCUCCUGCUCUUACACACAAGUUGUUUUUGAAGUUGUGGCACGUGGAACGCUGCCUCAGUGUGGCUUGAUGAGC